rnacentral:rRNA from 1 species
CUAGUCCUAGGGUCACGUGAGAUUCGCAUGCAGUGACGACCUGGUAUGAAGUCGAUCGAGCUGUGAGAGACAGUGAAGUAGUACUGACGACUACGAGAGCUAUCGUCACAGCGGUAUCUAGUCUGCGUGUCGAUAUGCGUAGCGGCAGCGUUAGAUAGUCGAGUAGGCUGUGCUACCAUAGUACGCUUGAACUGUUACUUGAGUCCAGAGAGAUUGAAUUCCAUGUGUAGCGGUGAAUGCGUAGAUAUAUGAAGAACCCGGUGCGAAGCGCUCUCUGCUGUAACUGACGCUGAGCUCGAAAGCGUGGAGAGCAAACAGGAUUAGAUACCCUGUUAGUCACGCUGUAAACGAUGAGUGCUAGGUGUUAGACCCUUUCCGGGGUUUAGUGCGUAGCCAACGCAUUAAGCACUCCCCCUUGGGGAGUACGACCGCAAGGUUGAAACUCAAAGGAAUUGACGGGGGCCCGCACAAGCGGUGGAGCAUGUGUUUAAUUCGAAGCAACGCGAAGAACCUUACCAGGUCUUGACAUCCCUCUGACCGCUCUAGAGAUAGGGUUUUCUUUCGGGACAGAGGUGACAGGUGGUGCAUGGUUGUCGUCAGCUCGUGUCGUGAGAUGUUGGGUUAAGUCCCGCAACGAGCGCAACCCCUAUUGUUAGUUGCCAUCAUUUAGUUGGGCACUCUAGCGAGACUGCCGGUAAUAAACCGGAGGAAGGUGGGGAUGACGUCAAAUCAUCAUGCCCCUUAUGACCUGGGCUACACACGUGCUACAAUGGCUGGUACAACGAGUCGCAAGCCGGUGACGGCAAGCUAAUCUCUUAAAGCCAGUCUCAGUUCGGAUUGUAGGCUGCAACUCGCCUACAUGAAGUCGGAAUCGCUAGUAAUCGCGGAUCAGCACGCCGCGGUGAAUACGUUCCCGGGCCUUGUACACACCGCCCGUCACACCACGAGAGUUUGUAACACCCGAAGUCGGUGAGGUAACCGUAAGGAGCCAGCCGCCUAAGGUGGGAUAGAUGAUUGGGGUGAAGUCGUAACAAGGUAGCCGUAUCGGAAGGUGCGGUUGGAUCACCUCCUUC